GUGUCUCAUGACUCUCUCCCUGCAGCUCAAAGUAGCAGUUCUACAUUAUGGUCAGGCAGCAAAAAAGUCAUGUUUAGUCAAAACCUCAUCACAUUUUCAGUCUUUCUGCUGUGGACAUCAGGCUGUCUUGGUGGGAGUGAUGUGACCCAGACCCCCAUGCUGUGGAAGUCUGUCGGUGAAGAUGCAACGAUUGAAUGCGAACAUACCAAGGGUGCUGGCUAUUACCAGAUGUACUGGUACAGACAGCUGCCUGGAGAAACUAUGAAGCUUGUUGUUUUUACAUCAACAGUUUCAAAAAAUCAUGACUUUGGAGAUUUUGGAAAUGAAAAAUUCAAUGCCACCAAGACUGAGGUUGACAAAGGAACGUUUACAGUGAAGAAUCUACAACCAAAAGAUAAAGGCUUGUAUUUCUGCGCUGUGUCAAAACACAGUGAUACAAACACAUGUGUGAGCUGA